rnacentral:rRNA from 1 species
AGUUCGAUUCUGGCUCAGAUUGAACGCUGGCGGGAUGUUUACACAUGCAAGUCGAACGGCAGCACGGACUUCGGUCUGGUGGCGAGUGGCGAACGGGUGAGUGACGUAUCGGAACGUGCCUAGUAGAGGGGAUAACUACGCGAAAGCGUGUUUAAUACCGCAUACGCCCUUCGGGGGAAAGCGGGGGACCUUCGGGCCUCGCACAUUAGAGCGGGCCGAUAUCGGAUUAGCUAGUUGGUGUAACGGCUCGUCAAGGCGAUUGUGAUCCGUAGCUGGUUUGAGAGGACGACCAGCCACACUGGGACUGAGACACGGCCCAGACUCCGGCGGAGGUACAGUGGGAAUUUUGGACAAUGGGAAACUCGAUCCAGCCAUCCUUGCGUGUGUGAUGAAGGCCUUCGGGUUGUAAAGCACUUUUGGCAGUGGAGAAACUGCACGGGAUAAUACCCCGUGCAACUGACGGUACCUGCAGAAUAAGCACCGGCUAUCACGCCAAAACAGCCGUGUAAUACGUAGGGUAAGCGUUAAUCGGAAUUACUGGGCGUAAGUGCGCAGGCGGUUCAAAGAAAGAUGUGAAAUCCCAGAGCUUAACUUUGAACUGCAUUUUUAACUACCGAGCUAGAGUGUCAGAGGGAGGUGGAAUUCCGCGUGUAGCAGUGAAAUGCGUAGAUAUGCGGAGGAACACCGAUGGCGAAGGCAGCCUCCUGGGAUAACACCGACGCUCAUGCACGAAAGCGGGAGCAAACAGGACAGGAUACCCUGGUAGUCCACGCUCUAAACGAUGUCAACUAGUUGCUGGGGCCUCUCGGGCCUUGGUAGCGCAGCUAACGCGCGUGAAGUUGACCGCCUGGGGAGUGGGCGGUCGCAAAGAUUAAAAACCAGCACUGAUGGGGACCCGGUAAUGUUGUGGAUGAUGUGGAUUAUCCGGAUGCAACGCGAAAACCUUACCUACCCUUGACAUGUCUGGAAUCCCGAAGAGAUUUGGGAGUGCUCGUAUGAGAAACCGGAACACAGGUGCUGUAUGGCUACUGUCGCCUGUACCAGAUGUUGGGUUAAGUCCCGCAACGAGCGCAACCCCGUCAUUAGUUGCUACGAAAGGGCACUCCAUCGAGACUGCCGGUGACAAACCGGAGGAAGGUGGGGAUGACGUCAAGUCCUCAUGGCCCUUAUGGGUAGGGCUUCACACGUCAUACAAUGGUCGGGACAGAGGGUCGCCAACCCGCGAGGGAGCCAAUCCCAGAAACCCGAUCGGUCCGGAUCGCAGUCUGCAACUCGACUGCGUGAAGUCGGAAUCGCUAGUAAUCGCGGAUCAGCAGCCAGCAGGCUAUGUUCCCGGGUCUUGGGUGUAGACACCGCCCGUCACACCAUGGAUGGGUUUUACCAGAAGUAGUUAGGCCUAACCGUAAGGAGGGCGAUUACCACGGUAGGAUUCAUGACUGGGGUGAAGUCGUAACAAGGUAA